rnacentral:snoRNA from 1 species
ACCUGGGUCGGGGAAGGCUCUCCUAAUGUGUAAGAGACUUGCCCAAAGUGGCCUCUGUUCCUAGAAUCUGUGCGACAGAU